rnacentral:rRNA from 1 species
UACGUAGGGAGCAAGCGUUGUCCGGAAUCAUUGGGCGUAAAGCGCGCGUAGGUGGCUCCAUAAGUCCGCUGUGAAAGUCAAAGGCUCAACCUUUGAAAGCCGGUGGAUACUGUGGGACUAGAGUACGGAAGAGGCGAGUGGAAUUCCUGGUGUAGCGGUGGAAUGCGCAGAUAUCAGGAGGAACACCAAUAGCGAAGGCAGCUCGCUGGGACGUUACUGACACUGAGGCGCGAAGGCGUGGGGAGCGAACAGG